UACGUAGGUGGCAAGCGUUGUCCGGAAUUAUUGGGCGUAAAGCGCGCGCAGGCGGUUUCUUAAGUCUGAUGUGAAAGCCCACGGCUUAACCGUGGAAGGUCAUUGGAAACUGGGAGACUUGAGUGCAGAAGAGAAGAGCGGAAUUCCACGUGUAGCGGUGAAAUGCGUAGAGAUGUGGAGGAACACCAGUGGCGAAGGCGGCUCUUUGGUCGUGUGAACUGACGCUGAGGCGCGAAAGCGUGGGGAUCAAACAGG
rnacentral:rRNA from 1 species